UGAUAUUUCCUCACUUUUUAAGUUGUGUGACUGCCCAUCUCCCAACAAAUGUCGCUCACGUGAAUCGAACUCUUAACAUUUUAGUCAUCUUAUAUGAGAAAUGGUUUGAGAUAACGUAUCUCUAUUCGAAAGUAAUAAGAUCAUAUCAAAUAACUUGAUUUGGGUUGAUUUUAUUUAAUUUAAUUAAUAGGGACCUCAUUUACUUUAUUGUGCUAUAUAAGACUCACCAACUCUAUGUGCAUAGUGCACCAAAUACUCCCAACUUCUUCACUCUCUUCUAAACCUUUGCCAAGUCCUAUGUAACUAAUGCUUUUGGUUGUGAACCACUUUCUCAAUUUGUGAGGUUCCAUUUUUCUUGUGGGAAAGAUGCUCUAAGUUAUUAAUUGGAUGUCAUUUGGGCUUUUGUUUCAUGUGAAACAUAUCUUUAGAUGGACAUGUUUGGUCCUAAGUUCUUGUUAUAACCUCUACCUUGCAAGUAAGGGUGAGUAUGGGUCAGAUUGUGAUGGAUUAAGACUUGUCUUUACCCGGCCCUAAAUACUGGUUGAGUCAUUUUUUUGAACCUGGAUCUGACCCUAUAUGAAGCUAACCCGACCCUAAAUAUUGGUUGAGUCAUUUUUUUGAACCCGGAUCUGGUCCUAUAUCUGAAGCUAACCCGGCCCUAAAUAGCGAUCGGGUCAGUCUUUAAACCUGACCCGAUCCUAGACCCAAUUAAAUAUAAUGCAUAUUUAUUUUAGACAAAAACUUCUCGAUAUUAUUUAUUAUUAUGAAUAUUUAGUUUGACAUAUAAAAUGAUAUUUGUAUAUAUAUAUAUUAUUAAUCAUGUAGAUAUUAUGGAAAAAUUAAAGAAUAAAUGAUAUUUUCCACCAAAAGACUAUCAUUACUCCCUACACAUUUGAGUAGAAACACAUACAAAUAUGAUGAGUGAGUGACCGUGGGACAGGACGGGUCGAGUCAUGUUUGGUCCCUACCCGACCUAAAUAUUGAUUGGAUCUAUUUUUUGAACCAGAACCCAACCCUAGACUUGACCCUAUUUGAACUCAAUCAUGAUCAUAUCGUGCCGGAUGAGCGGGUAGGGUCGGGUCCUGCUCACCCAUACUUACAAGCUUGGUUAUCACUCUGCAUGCUUUAUUCUGGUAAAUCAUGAAUUGGAAAUUAAAAUUUUUUAAAGCUAAAUUGGAUUUUAAUAUAUUUUUCUUCAUCUAUGAAUAUUUAUUCAUUUUUUUAUUUAAAAAAGAGGUUAGCUACAUUUCUAAAUAUUGAUUUUUAGGAUAGCAUUUAUCAUGUCUUCCUUUGUCCUUUUCAUUUAAUUUAUAGAUAACCCUUCAAGCCAAACAUGUUGCUGAUUAUUAUAUCAACAGCACGUUGAAAUUAUUGAGGGCUUUAAAUGAAUGCCAUAAUAGAGAAUGGUAUUGUCCCUCCAAUGUCAAAUAUUAUCGAGUUGAUGUCAAUAAUGUCUGUUAUAUCUUACAUCGAAGUUAACCAGCGCUCUUGUACUUUUGUGGAUCUAUUGGUAAUUAAUAUCAUUUACCAUGAUAAUACUAUGAGUAUACCUUAAGAUAUUAUACUUCACAUCUUAAAUGAGAUUAUCUUCUCCGAUGUUGGAUAAAUUCAAGUUUAAAAUCUUGUAUUUAAUAUAAUGAAGAAUUUAUAAGUAAAAAACACUUAUAAAAUUUUGGAAGUUACACACACCUUACAUCAAUGUCAAUAAAUCACCAUGUCACACUUUCUGUCAAAUCGAAUAUACAUGUCUCACAUUGCAUAUAUUGUGUGGUAUGUGUUACACUUUACAUCCAAAUCAAUGCUCCAACUACAUUAUGCAUUUAUGUUAUUUAACACUCGUGUUACAUACCAUACAUCGAAGCCCAAUGUGGCUCGUGUUACACCUAUAUCUCUAUCAAAUCUUGGGUACGAUACUUUCAGAACAUGACUAUACUUCUCUCACAUAAUCUGACGUUGUUUCACUUGAAUAUAAGUCAUUUAGACAAUUAUAUUUAUUAAAUAAUAUAAGAAUAUUAAAUUAAUAAUACGUUUUUGCAUGUGUAUUGUACUAGAACUAACUCUUCAUCUAAAAUAAACAAUCAUUUUAGGAUGCAUAUCUAAAGAUUAUUUUGUGCUAACAUUUUUUCAUCCACAAGAAGAUUAAAUUAUCAAUAUUUAUGACAGUGUAAAGAUUUAUACACAGUAAAUAUAUCUUUUACAAUUCAUUUAUAUUAUUUUUAUUUAAAAAUCAAUGAUGAUUAAAAACGAAUAAUAGAUAUACAAUAAAAGUGUAAAAUCUCUUACACUUUCAAUACAUACAUUAUAUUCUCAUUAUCAAAUCACUCUUCACACGAUGGCAACCUCAUUAUUAAUAUAUGUGUUGUGUCGGCAAGGAACAUUAAAUAUAUAUACACAUCACAUUUCCACAUAAACUUACUAUUUAGAGAAGUAUCCAUAUGAAUUUAAGAAAGAUUAAAUAUCCAUUUUAAUCCAUCAUAUUUUUAAUCUUACCUGUUUAGUUUUUCACAAAUUGAAAAUUUCAAAUGGUCCUUAAAUUUUUUAAAUAUGGAUUAAAUUAGUUAUUUUUAGGCCACAUUAGUCUCUAUUAAAUGUUAUAAAACUUGUUAAAAAAACUAAUUUGACUCACAUUUAAAAUAAAAUUUAUAUGGAUAAUUUUGAUCUUUUUCAAUUAUUGAAGGAGCAAACUAGUAAAAUAUGAAAAUCUGAAAUGAUUAUUUCCUUUAGAAUUAAAAAGUGGUCUUCAACUUGUAGAAAUAUCUCAUUCCAGAUCUGAAACCCUUCUUUCUCUCUUUAUUUCUCCUCCAGAGACACAAAUAAAUAUCACCAACAACAUUUAUACUAUAGGAUAAAAUCAUUUUCAAUUCUGUAGAGUGUAAUAUUCAAACAGAUAUGAAUUUGAUAAUUUAUAAAUUUAUUUUAUCUAAAAAAAUAAGAGUAAAUAUCAAUUUUAGUCUCUCAUAUUUUUUGACGUUACCAGUUUAGUCAAUAAAAAAGAAAAGACCUAGAAUGGUCCUCAAAAAUUUCAAAUGUAGGUCAAAUUAGUUAUUUUUAGCAUGUUUUACAACACAUGGUAGAGACUAAUUUGACCCAAAAAUGACUAAUUUGCCUCACAUUUGAAAUUUUUGAGACCAUUUUAAAUCUUUUCUUGUUUGAAGGACUAAAUCUAAAUUGGUAAGGUCAAAAAAUAUAAAAGACUAAAAUGAAUAUUUACUAAAAACUAAUUUAAAAUUCUGACUGCUACAUUUUUUAUGAGACACAUAUCAAUAUUUAUCUAGGACUGAACUCUCAUACUACAAAUUAAAUGCACAUGAGGAUAUUUUUUAUAAAGCAAAUUUAUAUCUUUAUCCUAUGAAUAAGGAACUCUUCUACUACCCGUUUUGAUAAGUGUUACUCUUAAAACUUAAAUAUUUAACAUAAUAUAUAGUAUUUGACAAUAUAAUAAGAUUUUAUAUCACUAAAUCAACAUCGAAGGAAAACGCAGUGUUGUAACAAAUGGGUGGGUCAGCAUAUGUGAAAGAAAACGUGGGCAUGCAAAUGUGGACAAACACAAAAGGUGCAACACGACACCAUGUUUUGUCAAAAAAAGAACACAUGAAAGCACCAAAGGGUAUUCCUGUGCCACCAUUACACUCAACUUUAGUGGUCCUUUUAUCUUUCUAGACCGUUCAUUCUCUGCUGAAAAAAACUUAUUAUCCUAAACUAUCUUCAAAUUUUAUCUCGAGUUAACGAUAAUAAAACAAAAAAUAGUGAGUAUUUAAAAUUUUAAAUUAAUAUACAUGUUUUUAUUGCUGCAAGAUAGUUGUGAGAUAUGGUUUUUGUGUCCUACCAAUGAUAUUUCCUCACUUUUUAAGUUGUGUGACUGCCCAUCUCCCAACAAAUGUCGCUCACGUGAAUCGAACUCUUAACAUUUUAGUCAUCUUAUAUGAGAAAUGGUUUGAGAUAACGUAUCUCUAUUCGAAAGUAAUAAGAUCAUAUCAAAUAACUUGAUUUGGGUUGAUUUUAUUUAAUUUAAUUAAUAGGGACCUCAUUUACUUUAUUGUGCUAUAUAAGACUCACCAACUCUAUGUGCAUAGUGCACCAAAUACUCCCAACUUCUUCACUCUCUUCUAAACCUUUGCCAAGUCCUAAUCUUAGUUAUGGCUCGUUAUGCUCCUUUUGGUUCCAUCAUUUUCUUCUUUCUUUUGCUUCUUGUGGCCAAUGGUGAGAGUUUCUUAAUGUUUAAUAGCCCAUCAUUUUCUUUUGUUUCUUAAACAACUCAUAAUUCUAAAGUUUGGUUUUUGUUAAAUAAGAUGUUGACAUAGUUAUAUGGUUCACCCCAUAUUCGUUCUAGUUUGGGAUAUCUAGUUUUUAUGUGAUUUGUUACUUUUUUAUAUUAUUAUUAAAACAUUUAUUUUAUAUAGAGUUGGUAUGUGGAACUAUAAGCUUAAUAUGUAAUACCAACAUUUUAAAUUGUGGUAACAAAUGCGGCCAUUGUGGUGCACGUUGUGAAUUUUUGUAUGAUUAAAAAAAUAUUUUUAUCUUCAAUGUUAGUUUAUGUUGUUCGAAAUGGCUCAAAUUUGGACUAAUGUGACUCAAAUGCGUUAUGAUGUGGUUUUUUAAUUCGAUGUGACCUAAUAUAGUCUAACAUAGUCCAAAUGAGAUCCAAGGUAGCUCAGACGUGGUUCGAUGUGAUUGUGCUAUGAUCCGAUGUAGCUGUACUAUUUUAAUGCGGUUGUGGUGAUUAUUGCAAACACAAUAUUGUCACAUCAUGUGAUAUAAUCUACAAUUUAAAACAAUAUGUAAUAUGUAGACUAAAUGAGAAAACCAUAUAGCCAUCAAUAAUAUUUAUAUCUCUUUAUCUAGCCCAUACCAUUCACUUGGUUUAUUUUUUAUCAUGUGUUUGUGUUGUAUACUUACUCAUUUGUGUUAUGGUUUAUUUUGAGAAUUUAUCGAGCAGAAAU
rnacentral:lncRNA from 1 species